UUAUUUUUUAAUAAUUAAUUUUUAUAUAAUUUUUAUAUAAUUAAUAUUUUAGUUAUUUAUAGGAAUAAAUAUUAUAAUAUAAUAAUAUUUUAAUAAUGAUAAAAUAAGUAUUUUAUAUAUAUAAAAUAUAGUAACUCGGCAAAUAUUAUUUUCGCCUGUUUAACAAAAACAUGGUCUUUUGUUUAUAUAAAAGAUCUAACCUGCCCUAUGAUUUAUUUAAAUGGCUGCAGUAUUUUGACUGUACAAAGGUAGCAUAAUCAUUUGUCUUUUAAUUGAAGGCUUGUAUGAAUGGUUGGAUGAAAAAUAUACUUUCUUUAUUUUAUAUAAAAAAUUUAAUUUUCUAGUCAAAAAGCUAGGAUUUUUUUAUAGGACGAGAAGACCCUAUAGAACUUUAUUUUCUUUUUUUAUAAACUUUAUAGAUAAAUAUAAGUUUAUAUAUUUUUGUUAAUUUUGUUGGGGUGAUUGAAAAAAUUUUUUAACUUUUUCUAUUUUUUACAUUUAUAUAUGUUUUUUUGAUCCUUUAUUAUGGAGUAAAAGAUUAAGUUACCUUAGGGAUAACAGCGUUAUUUUUUUGGAGAGUUCUUAUCGAUAAAAAAGUUUGCGACCUCGAUGUUGG
rnacentral:rRNA from 1 species